CGCAUCUGUGCAUGCAGCAUAUCAAUAAGCGGAGGAAAAGAAACUAACAAGGAUUCCCCUAGUAACGGCGAGUGAAGCGGGAAGAGCUCAGAUUUGAAAUCUUAAAGGGUUUCCCUUUACGAAUUGUAGUUUAAAGAAGUGUUUUCUGUUGAGGUUUUGGUAAAAGUUCUUUGGAAUAGGACAUCAUAGAGGGUGAGAAUCCCGUAUUUGACCUUUACUUUCAACUUUGUGAUACACUUUCAAAGAGUCGGAUUGUUUGGGAAUGCAGUCCAAAAUGGGUGGUAAAUUUCAUCUAAAGCUAAAUAUUGGCGAGAGACCGAUAGCGAACAAGUACCGUGAGGGAAAGAUGAAAAGAACUUUGAAAAGAGAGUUAAACAGUACGUGAAAUUGUCAAAAGGGAAGCGUUUGACACCAGUGUUGUUUUUCUGAAAAUCAAUUAAAGAACUGUUUAUGCUAAGCUUGUUUAGACUUUAUCAGCUAUCUGUUUAGUUUUGAGCUUUUCUUUAAUGCACUUUUCAGUUAACAAGUUAACAUCAAUUUCUUUUGCUGUAAAAAAGCUUGAGGAAGGUGGCUUGAGAUUCGUCUUAAGUGUUUAUAGCCUCUUGCCUAUGCAGUCGGAGAGAUUGAGGUCUGCAGCGUAGAUCCUUCGGGGCUAAAUGCAUUUGUGCUAAGUUAUAGCAUUUUAUAGACAACUUGUUGACUAUGAUUUGUCUUGUAGCUUACUCGCUUAUGUUAUUUUACCUACGCUUAGGAUGUUGAGUCGUAGAGCACGCAG
rnacentral:rRNA from 1 species